rnacentral:sRNA from 1 species
GCUUUCCUUAAGCCAUCAGUUGGUACAAUCAAGUAAUUAACAUAUCAUAUUCACUUUCCAACUAGUAGAAUCAUGAA